rnacentral:rRNA from 1 species
GCAAGGGGGUCAUCCCGACUUACCAACCCGAUGCAAACUGCGAAUACCGGAGAAUGUUAUCACGGGAGACACACGGCGGGUGCUAACGUCCGUCGUGAAGAGGGAAACAACCCAGACCGCCAGCUAAGGUCCCAAAGUCAUGGUUAAGUGGGAAACGAUGUGGGAAGGCCCAGACAGCCAGGAUGUUGGCUUAGAAGCAGCCAUCAUUUAAAGAAAGCGUAAUAGCUCACUGGUCGAGUCGGCCUGCGCGGAAGAUGUAACGGGGCUAAACCAUGCACCGAAGCUGCGGCAGCGACACUAUGUGUUGUUGGGUAGGGGAGCGUUCUGUAAGCCUGUGAAGGUGUGCUGUGAGG